GCCUAGCCCUGAUUGAGUGGCAUGUCUGAGCUCUUUUGUUUUCUUUUUUCGGGGCGGCGAAGCCGCCCCGAAAACACAAAACAAAAAGCGAGUAGCGAAAGCAGGAAACAGC
rnacentral:misc_RNA from 1 species